UGUGAUUGCACUGUGAUGGUUGGUAGUA
rnacentral:piRNA from 1 species